UACGGGGGGGGCAAGCGUUGUUCGGAAUUACUGGGCGUAAAGGGCUCGUAGGCGGCCAACUAAGUCAUACGUGAAAUCCCUCGGCUUAACCGGGGAACUGCGUCUGAUACUGGAUGGCUUGAGUUCGGGAGAGGGAUGCGGAAUUCCAGGUGUAGCGGUGAAAUGCGUAGAUAUCUGGAGGAACACCGGUGGCGAAGGCGGCAUCCUGGACCGAUACUGACGCUGAGACGCGAAAGCGUGGGGAGCGAUCCGG
rnacentral:rRNA from 1 species